GAAAUGCGAUAACUAGUGUGAAUUGCAGAAUUCCGUGAAUCAUCGAGUCUUUGAACGCACAUUGCGCCCCCUGGUAUUCCGGGGGGCAUGCCUGUCCGAGCGUCAUUGCUGCCCAUCAAGCACGGCUUGUGUGUUGGGUCGUCGUCCCCUCUCCGGGGGGGACGGGCCCCAAAGGCAGCGGCGGCACCGCGUCCGAUCCUCGAGCGUAUGGGGCUUUGUCACCCGCUCUGUAGGCCCGGCCGGCGCUUGCCGAACACAAAUCAAUCUUUUUCCAGGUUGACCUCGGAUCAGGUAGGGAUACCCGCUGAACUUAAGC
rnacentral:misc_RNA from 1 species